GCUUGCAGGACAUCAUCCUUCGUUUUCAAAAGGCUGCAUCUCCCUUCCACUUCUAAGCCUCAGAGCCCCCGCGCCCGCGAACUGCCCUCCUCGAGGCGGCCAGCAGGUGGCGCCCGGCCUCCACCGGCAGGACCCGGAAAGGCCCACUGGGCUCCGACGUCCCAAGUCCCCUCGGAAGGGCGCCCGUUUCCCGGACGCGGCUGCUCCCUUAGGUCUUCGAUCGAAAGGCGCGAACGGCCCGCGGCUCCCAGCGACGGUGUGGGCCCGGCUCGCCCCCACGCUUCCCUCGCAAAGCCAGGGAGCCCUCGCGCGAGGUCCCCUCCGUCCAAGACACUGUCUCGGUCCGAGCCGACCGCGGGCGGGGCACCGAGCCUGGGGUCUGUGCUCCCCUCCCCCCGGAGAGAAAGGCCGCAGGUGGGUAGAGACCUGGCCUGGCGCUUCCCGCCCUCGCCGCUCCCGGGUGCAGCCCCACGCGGGGUGGCCGGUCGUGCCGGGCGCUGGAGGGGCAGAGGACGAGUGGACCGACGGCCUAGGCCAGUCCUGAAUGGCGGCCACGGUCGGAAUGACCGGCUCCGCACGGGGGCCGCCGCCGGAGCCCGCCUCCCCGGGGGUAUGAUGAUCCCCGACAACGGCGACGGCCCCUGGAUCCAAGGACAGGCCCACCUGUGGGCGAAGAUGCGGUCCGGGGGCGGGGACGAUGCGCAGCGCGCGGGUGAUGCGCAAAGCUGGCCCGGCCGGCUGCACGGGCCCCCCCCCCACCGCCCCGGCCUGGAAGGGUGCAGGAGCCCGGCGAGGCUGGGACCACCGGUGCCCCCGCCCCCGCCCCGCGCUCGGGCGCGAUGGAUUCCGUGUCGGGCCCGGAAACGCCGCAGCCACCCGGGACAGACUCGCCGGCGCCACCCUUACACCUGCUCGGCUGGGCCUGAGACGGUAGCCCCAGGUGAGACCCUCCCCACCCCCACCCCCCCCAACCUCACCCCCUAUCCUCACCGGCCCGUCCUCCCCGCUCCUUCUCCAGGUCCCGUCCACCCUGGAUCGGCCUUACGAGCAUCCCACCCCCACCCUCAAGCCACAUGCCCUGGCGGAAGUGUCUUCCAACGUGAGAAGGUAGUAUCAAUAUACGGGGAUACAGAUGAUUUGUAA
ensembl:lncRNA